rnacentral:rRNA from 1 species
GACGAACGCUGGCGGCGUGCUUAACACAUGCAAGUCGAACGGAAAGGCCCUGCUUUUGUGGGGUGCUCGAGUGGCGAACGGGUGAGUAACACGUGAGUAACCUGCCCUUGACUUUGGGAUAACUUCAGGAAACUGGGGCUAAUACCGGAUAGGAGCUGCUGCUGCAUGGUGGGGGUUGGAAAGUUUCGGCGGUUGGGGAUGGACUCGCGGCUUAUCAGCUUGUUGGUGGGGUAGUGGUUUACCAAGGCUUUGACGGGUAGCCGGCCUGAGAGGGUGACCGGCCACAGUGGGACUGAGAUACGGCCCAGACUCCUACGGGAGGCAGCAGUGGGGAAUAGUGCACAAUGGGCGGAAGCCGGAUGCAGCAACGCCGCGUGCGGGAUGACGGCCUUCGGGUUGUAAACCGCUUUCGCCUGUGACGAAGCGUGAGUGACGGUAAUGGGUAAAGAAGCACCGGCUAACUACGUG